UACGUAGGUGGCAAGCGUUGUCCGGAUUUAUUGGGUUUAAAGGGUGCGUAGGCGGGUUGUUAAGUCAGUGGUGAAAUCUUGCAGCUUAACUGUAAAAUUGCCAUUGAUACUGACGAUCUUGAGUACACUUGAAGUGGGCGGAAUAUGUCAUGUAGAGGUGAAAUUCUUAGAGAUGACAUAGAACACCGAUUGCGAAGGCAGCUUACUAGGCUGUAACUGACGCUGAGGCACGAUAGCGUGGGGAUCAAACAGG
rnacentral:rRNA from 1 species